AGGGAAGUAAUCUGGGAAUAGUUGUAGAAGGGCGUAACUUUCAACAUUGAUCCAGUAUCAAAGAAGAAACAACAAUUUGAAGAUGUUUUUGCUGAAAAGUUUGCACCUUACAGGUCUGCUCCUUCUUGGGCUAGUGCUGUUAGGCCAUACAGAAAGACCAUUAGCAAAGGCUGGCACUAAAACUGUUUGGACAGGAAAAGGAUCAACAGAAAAUUUGAAAGAAAUAAUGAUUGGAAGAUGCUUCAACUACCUUGGAACAGUAAAUGUUGAUGCAGGGGAGAAAGACUGUCCAAAUCUAUGGGUAGCAUUUCUGAGUGCAUUUAGUGAGAAGGAUCCAUGCAAAAUUACAACAGAGGAUUAUAAACCAUUUCUGGAUUUGGCAGGCCAUGACAUUCCAAUUAACCAGUCAAUCUUCUGGAGCCAGACCAAAGGGCUCAUUCUUCAGUACACUGGUGUUACACACAAGGUGAUGCCUCUUGAGAGCACUCUGGUUGGUUAUAUGGUGGACGGCCUGAACUGGUGUGGAAAACUCUCCAGCCCAGAACCUAAUUUUGAAGAAUGUCCUGGGUGGAAAGAGUGCGAAAACAAUUCAAUAAGUUCAUUUUGGAAGGCAGCAUCUGAAGAUUAUGCAACGAGGGCUCGUGGAGAAGUUACAGUGAUGCUGAAUGGAUCUGCUCGUGGCGACACCUUCAGGAAUAACAGCAUUUUUGCUGAAAUUGAACUUGGCAAAUUAGACAAUGCGCGGGUUACCUUUGUUCACCUCUGGAUCAUGGACAAUAUUGAUGGCCCUGAUAAAGAAUCCUGUGAUGUCGGCAGUGUUGCAGUAUUGGAAAGCAUUCUAAAGGAGAAAAAUAUCAGCUACUCUUGCAAAGAUAAUUACAACGCUGCCGAAGGCCAAGGCCUAUCCGACUGUUGAGGACUGGGAUCCUGUCAAACCAACCAAACUCUAGGCCUUGCUGAUACCUCAGAAGAUGGGGUCCCACCAAGACCGCCAAAGACUGGGGGCCCAACACGACCACCGAAGACUGGGGACCGGCCAAAGCCACCUAAGACUGUCAGCUCAUCGACACCGCCAAAGACCAGGGAUCAGCCAAAUCUGCCAAAGACCAGAGACCCAUCUAAACCUCCAAAGAGUGGGGGCCCGCUGAAACCGCCAAAGACCAGGGAUCAGCCAAAACUGCCAAAGAGAAAGAGACCACAAAGACCAGGGAUGGUCCACGUCAACCGAAGGCCCGGGACGGUCCACGUCAACCGAAGGCCCGGGACGGUCCACGUCAACCGAAGGCCCGGGGCGGUCCACGUCAACCGAAGGCCAGGGGCGGUCCACGUCAACCGAAGGCCAGGGGCGGUCCACGGCAACCGAAGGCUAGGGGCGGGCCACGUCAACCGAAGACUAAGGUCUAUCCAUAUUGACCACAAUUGGGAGACUGGGGAUGGAGGCCUGCCACAACCAUGGGGGAGCAGGAGCUCGCUGAAGCCACUGAAGACCAGGCACCCGCUGAAAUUGUGGAAGACUGAGAGCCUGCUGAAACUGCCAAUGAUGUGGGCCCAUUGAAACUGCCACACCUCAGCUGCAGAACAAAGAAAGUAAACUUGUUGCAAAAGGGCUGCUAAAAUGCUGCAGUGUAUGGACAAGUUGGAUCAUCCAUCCUGCAAAUUAGGUGAAAAGCCAAUUGCAUGACUGGCCGACCUGCUUAAGCUACUCUCAUGGAAUUUCUAAAGCUUCCUGCUUCUAUAUAGACAGACAAUCAAUUAAAAUGAUGC